rnacentral:rRNA from 1 species
GACGAACGUUGGCGGCGUGCUUAACACAUGCAAGUCGAACGGUAAGGCCCUUCGGGGUACACGAGUGGCGAACGGGUGAGUAACACGUGGGUGAUCUGCCCUGCACUUCGGGAUAAGCCUGGGAAACUGGGUCUAAUACCGGAUAGGACCACUGCCUGCAUGGGUGGUGGUGGAAAGCUUUUGCGGUGUGGGAUGGGCCCGCGGCCUAUCAGCUUGUUGGUGGGGUGAUGGCCUACCAAGGCGACGACGGGUAGCCGGCCUGAGAGGGUGACCGGCCACACAGGGACUGAGAUACGGCCCAGACUCCUACGGGAGGCAGCAGUGGGGAAUAUUGCACAAUGGGCGCAAGCCUGAUGCAGCGACGCCGCGUGGGGGAUGACGGCCUUCGGGUUGUAAACCUCUUUCAGUAGGGACGAAGCGCAAGUGACGGUACCUACAGAAGAAGCACCGGCCAACUACGUGCCAGCCGCCGCGGUAA